ACGCUCGACACCUACGGGAGGCAGCAGUCGGGAAUAUUGCGCAAUGGAGGAAACUCUGACGCAGUGACGCCGCGUGCAGGAAGAAGGUUUUCGGAUUGUAAACUGCUUUAGACAGGGAAGAAAAAAGACAGUACCUGUAGAAUAAGCUCCGGCUAACUACGUACCAGCAGCCGCAGUAAUCUGAGCGGGCUGGCAAGGC
rnacentral:rRNA from 1 species